AUGGCUCAGGAUGAACGCUAGCGGCAGGCUUAACACAUGCAAGUCGAGGGGCAGCGGGGAGGAAGCUUGCUUUCUCCGCCGGCGACCGGCGCACGGGUGAGUAACACGUAUGCAACCUGCCCCUGUCAGGGGGACAACCCGCCGAAAGGCGGGCUAAACCCGCGUACAUGCCACCGGGGCAUCCCGGAGGCAGGAAAGGCUUCGGCCGGACAGGGAUGGGCAUGCGGCGCAUUAGGCAGUAGGCGGGGUAACGGCCCACCUAACCGACGAUGCGUAGGGGUUCUGAGAGGAAGGUCCCCCACACUGGUACUGAGACACGGACCAGACUCCUACGGGAGGCAGCAGUGAGGAAUAUUGGUCAAUGGUCGGGAGACUGAACCAGCCAAGCCGCGUGAGGGAGGAAGGUACAGAGUAUCGUAAACCUCUUUUGUCAGGGAACAAAGACUGGGACGCGUCCCCGGAUGAGUGUACCUGAAGAAAAAGCAUCGGCUAACUCCGUGCCAGCAGCCGCGGUAAUACGGAGGAUGCGAGCGUUAUCCGGAUUUAUUGGGUUUAAAGGGUGCGCAGGCGGUCUGUUAAGUCAGCGGUCAAAGCCCGGGGCUCAACCCCGGCCCGCCGUUGAAACUGGCAGUCUCGAGUUGGAGAGAAGUAUGCGGAAUGCGCGGUGUAGCGGUGAAAUGCAUAGAUAUCGCGCAGAACUCCGAUUGCGAAGGCAGCAUGCCGGCUCCACACUGACGCUGAGGCACGAAAGCGUGGGUAUCGAACAGGAUUAGAUACCCUGGUAGUCCACGCAGUAAACGAUGAAUGCUGGCUGUCCGGGGGGACUGACCCCUGGGUGGCGAAGCGAAAGCGAUAAGCAUUCCACCUGGGGAGUACGCCGGCAACGGUGAAACUCAAAGGAAUUGACGGGGGCCCGCACAAGCGGAGGAACAUGUGGUUUAAUUCGAUGAUACGCGAGGAACCUUACCCGGGCUCAAACGGGGAGUGACUCAGGCAGAGACGCCUGUUUCCCACGGGACACUCCCCGAGGUGCUGCAUGGUUGUCGUCAGCUCGUGCCGUGAGGUGUCGGCUUAAGUGCCAUAACGAGCGCAACCCCCGCGUGCAGUUGCUAACAGAUAACGCUGAGGGCUCUGCACGGACUGCCGGCGCAAGCCGCGAGGAAGGCGGGGAUGACGUCAAAUCAGCACGGCCCUUACGUCCGGGGCGACACACGUGUUACAAUGGGUGGUACAGCGGGAAGCCAGGCGGCGACGCCGAGCGGAACCCGAAAUCCACUCUCAGUUCGGAUCGGAGUCUGCAACCCGACUCCGUGAAGCUGGAUUCGCUAGUAAUCGCGCAUCAGCCAUGGCGCGGUGAAUACGUUCCCGGGCCUUGUACACACCGCCCGUCAAGCCAUGGGAGCCGAGGGCGCUUGAAGUGCGUCGCCGCGAGGCGCGCCCUAGAGCGAAAUCGGUGACUGGGGCUAAGUCGUAACAAGGUAACCG
rnacentral:rRNA from 1 species